UGGGGAAUAUUGCACAAUGGGCGAAAGCCUGAUGCAGCGACGCCGCGUGGAGGAUGACGGCCUUCGGGUUGUAAACUCCUUUCAGCAGGGAAGAAGCGAAAGUGACGGUACCUGCAGAAGAAGCGCCGGCUAACUACGUGCCAGCAGCCGCGGUAAUACGUAGGGCGCAAGCGUUGUCCGGAAUUAUUGG
rnacentral:rRNA from 1 species